rnacentral:ncRNA from 1 species
UAAUAAGCUAUGAAAAAGAAAGUAGAUUUAAGGAAUAAAGUAGGGAGAAAAAGCCAAAGACUGAAAGCUUUUUUAUUAGGAAUUAAAUCGAAGUUCACUUUGGAGCUCUCUAGGGGAAGUUAUAGUAGUCUAGAGCGGUAUUAUAAAAGCCGAUAUUUUUUAAUGAAGUGGAUAAGGGUAUGGAUUAUGCUCUUAUCAACUAGGGUGGUAACGCGGAUAUACUCCGUCCCUUUU